CAAAUUCUCCUCCCUCGUACAGGUGACAGUGCGAUUACAGAAUACAACGCCCCCUGCAGCUCAGAUGUCAAGAAGGAGGAUUCCCAGUAAAGCCCUCUGGCUUUGAGCCCUGAAUUCCUCAAUCUGGGCAUCACUGCUGGUAGGGGAAGAACUUCCCAGCUUUGGCCUCUUUUCUACGAGGCUCAUUUCUGUUCCCCUUCGCUUUCUCUCCUUCUUUUGAUCUGCACCCAUCUUCUCCAGGGGAAACCUGGCUUGAGGCGCAAUAGUGUGGAACUGGGCUGUAACCCAGGAGAGCCACAUUAAUGGGUCAGGACAUGCAAAGAGGAGAGCAAAGCCACUGGGGGUUGCAUCCAGGUGGGAUCCAUCUGCUGGAAGCAAGGAGGUAAGAAAGAAGGAGGAAGAGCUGGAGAAAACGGUCCCCUCCAGAUGCGCUGGGAGCUCUAUGAUCUCUUCCUUGCCUUGGUUUCUUCCUUUGCAUGGGAUUUCUUUAGGAAUCAAGGAAAGGCCUGACCUGCCAAGUUCAGAUUUGGAUCCUGAUUCCCCCAGAGCAGCAGGGAGUUUGCUUCCACGGUUUUGGUUCAAUCCCUACUGUAUUAAAAGCAAAAUGAAUAAACUGUACUAUGGAGGCCUG